GGGAGGGAAGGAGGGAGCCGGGCUUGGCGAGUCAACACUGCAGAGCUGCUGCGAGAGGAGCGGGAGGCAGAGCCAGGCCGGCUGGGAAGGACGGAUUUGCUGAGCCCGCGACAAAAAAUGGUUUGAGUAAUUAUCGACGCCUGCCGCUAUGUGGCCAGGAAGAUGAGGACCCUGUGGAGCCGGGAGCACCGGGAGCCACCGCCCUGCCCGGCACAGGCAGAGCCCCGCGGCCACUGACAGAAUGUAAAGGCAGAGGUAUCAGCACCCCCUGAAGCAACAGCCUCCCUUCCCAGGAACAUCAAACCCAUCCAGUGCAGGUCCCGACAGUAAAAGCCCUCAAGGUCCUCCCAUGAAGGCCACAAGAUUUCUUCCCACUGAUUUCUCCAGGGAAUCCAUUUGCUGGGAAUCUUGCAGCACAGGGAUUGGAAAAUAUCAGCGAAUCCCUCCUGUAUCUGCUCUCAACACAGAAGCACAACGAUAGAAAACAUCUUAAUUGGUCUCCUGUUACCAGAAUUUUCUAGCUGGCAGACAAAAAAAGAAGAUUCCCAAUAUGUAUCAGGUGCUCCUGGCACAUCUGGGCCAUGGAAUACCAGGAGAAGAGCUCGAGCCAUUGCAUCCCAGCAGCAAACUGGAAUUUCAUCCUGUGAAACCAAAUUGUGCUCCUGAUGAUAUUGGU